AAGUAAGAAAAAUAAUAAUAAAUUAGACGAUUAGAAAUCGAAUGGGAGUCCGACUCUAAAGCCAGGGAUAUUGCCUCAUGAAUCCAAUUCAAAAGAUAAUCUGAAUCCGUAAAUUUCAACUUGAUAUAAUAGUCAGUCAAGAUUAAUCAGAGACAAUAUUUUAGCGAUAAGGCAUACACAAAAGAAGCCGACUUUGUUAUUUGUCCAAAGGAAGACAAAAUGAAAAUAGAUUAAACAUAAACGGUAUGAUAUAUCUAUAAUAAAUAUUUUUUGUUAGUACGAUUUGUUUUUACUUUUUAUUGUCCGUUUUUACUAAUGAUAUCCCGUGUUUUUUACUAGUAUAAUGUUUCAAACCAUUAUAUAUAAAAUCAUGGUCUAAUCAUAAUUCAAUUAUUACAAUUUAUAACUAUUUAAACAAUUACCUGGAUCAACACGACUAGAUGGGUCGUCCCAAUACACACCGCCCUCCAAGUAGGGAACACAAAGAUGAGGGUUCAUCUUGGUGAGAAUGUCUUCUUCUUCAUCUUCAUCGCGAAACAGGAUGCAGUAAGAGAGAGCAUUCAGCCAAGUGGUUCCGGUUUUCGGGUUAGAAGCCAAGAUCACGACGUUGUCUUCACGUUUGGGCUUGAAGUUUGCCCUGAAAGCGUUUAUCGAACCCAGAAGAGUGGCACUGUACCAGAAUCCUUCGGUACCAGAAACCAAACAAGAGAUGGAAUUCCAGAUUGAACAGAUGACCGACCUACAAUAAAAUAAGACGAAAAUAUAAUUCCAUAUUCCAUUCUCUAAGACGAACUAAAGGGAUGUCUCUAAGCAGCCAAGGCCGGAGUGGAGCGCAUAAGCCCCUUUAGAGAUAGAGAUAGGGGGGACUACUACACGAGCUCAUAAGUAAAGUACGGAAAGAGCCUUGUCUACGAAGCGGAGCGACCUCGUCUUGCUUGCUUCUGGCGAAGCUUAACUACCUGAGUUUGGUCGAUGCCCCAACUGGCUUCUUCCUUUGUAGAAGCACUCAUGAUGAUGAUGGUGAUGAUGUUUUUGUUAAAGUGGAAAUGGUUUGAGUUGUGGGUUGUGUUGUAUGUGGUUCUACAUUAUUGAAGGGUAUUUAUGGGAAAACAUUGCAUCAAUUAUUUGCCAAAUUCUUGCAGUUAUGGUUGUGGCACCUAUCAAUUCUUGUGGACAGCAAUGAGCUAGAAAAUUGAUGAAAAUAUCUUCUUAUCUGUAGCAACAACAAAAAUCUAACUUGCGUAUUAGAAAAAAUCUAGCUGGAAAGUGAAUCCCAUUAUAGUUAAAAUUCACAUCUCGCAAAUCACGACGAAAUUUCAUACUUUUAAAUGGAAUGUAAUACACUUUCUUUUGUCCAAAAGAGCAUGUAAGUUUUGUUCAAUAUGUGUCACCAAUUUGUAGUUUAAACCACUCAUUGUUUCAUCCGAUUUUGAAGAUUGUUCUGAUAUAUUUCAUCUUUAUAAUUGAAAACCCUGACCGGCCGGGUUCUCGGUUAGUGAAUCUCGUCGUAAACAAUACAUCAUAUCCACAACAACUACGAUCAAAUCGCCUCGUCCUGAUCGAGAUAAAGCCCGGUACCUCGAAAUUUCUCCCGAGUACUAUCGUCGAUCCGUUUAGCUAUCUCGGGCGUCAAAUGAUUCCGCCAGUCUCCAACUUCACCGCGACGAAAGAAGAGGUUGUUCGUCAGAAGCGGAGCCACCUCCGGGUACGACUUGCCGUUUUUAUUCACGUCCAAAUCCUUAAGCCGGUCGAAGCUACUUCUCCAUAUGACCUUCUCAACUUCUCCAUCAUCAUCACGAAAUGGCUUUCCUAAAACCGAUGCCAGCUUCCGCACGUGCGGUUUGGGAUCACGACGAAGGUCCUCGUACUUGACGAACAUCACUUUGUCGGGGGAUCUUUGGCUUGCUUCCCAGUACUCCAACACAUGCUCCCAGUACGGACCUGAAGGGAUCCUGCCGCUGCAAAAGAUCUCGGCAGCUCGCUCCAGUGAUAAAGGGCCGAGAUUGUGUCGGUAUACUUUGUUGAAGAAAUGCCACUGGGAUACCAACGUGUCCUUUGGGUCUCGUGUGAUGUAGACCAAUUUGCAGUCUUUUUUGACGGAAUCCGGAAGGUAGCUGUAAGGCAUGUGAGUAUUGAAUAGCCGGCCUAAAACAAAUAAUUUAAAAUAAACGAAAUAACAAAUAUCAAAAUGAUGACAUAUAUAAUAAUUUUUCAUCCAGAAAUGGUCAAACUCGACGGUUGGAUUGGUCUAAUUAAGAACAUAAUACAUACCUCGAUCAACACGACUUGAUGGGUGGUCGUCCAAAUACACGCCAGCCUCCAAAGAGGGAACACACAGAUGAGGGUUCAUUUUUGUGAGAAGGUCUUCUUCUUCAUCUUCAUCACGAAACAGGAUGCAGUA
rnacentral:lncRNA from 1 species